UGAGGAUUUGGUAUGAAUUGCCCAACACAUUCGCUUUUCUCUGGGAAGCUGGUGGGAUGAUGGCCCUAGGGUGCUCUUCAAGGAGAUUAUUGAACCAUUUCUUAAUCCCUUCUCGAGAAGGUUGAAGCUCAUUAACCUGAAGAUUCAAAUGGCUGGGAUUAAGUUUGUAUUUCUGAGACCUGAUUAAGAAUUAUAACAAAGGCAAAUGAAAUUUCUG
rnacentral:lncRNA from 12 species